AUGUAAAAAUAUUAUUUACGUAUACCCGUCAUAGACCAUAAAUCAAUAAAAAAUCAAUCUACUCGACCAAUUUCCAAUGAAAACGAGUAAAGACAGACAGCAGUGUUUGAAGGAUUUACCGAUAACCAAUGUUCAAUUCAUCUUUGUAAAAACAAUACCUAGGUGCCGAUAUCUUAUUAUGAAACACUCAAACACGACAUGAUUCUGAAAUGUGUUGUGAAGUGAAAUAUGAAUGUUCAAAUUUUAGUAAAAUCCUAAGAAUUUAUGUAUACUAAUUAUGGAAUAAUUAUCAUAAUAUAUUAUUAUCCAGUUAUAACUGGUGAUUUAAACUUAG